rnacentral:rRNA from 1 species
GUGGAUUAGAUACCCUGGUAGUCCACGCCGUAAACGAUGGAUACUAGCUGUUUGUUCGAAAGGAUGAGUGGCUAAGCGAAAGUGAUAAGUAUCCCACCUGGGGAGUACGGGCGCAAGCCUGAAACUCAAAGGAAUUGACGGGGGCCCGCACAAGCGGUGGAGCAUGUGGUUUAAUUCGAUGAUACGCGAGGAACCUUACCAGGGCUUAAAUGUGUUUUGACCGAUCUGGAAACAGAUCUUUCGCAAGACAAAAUACAAGGUGCUGCACGGCCGUCGUCAGCU